rnacentral:rRNA from 1 species
GACGAACGCUGGCGGCGUGCUUAACACAUGCAAGUCGAACGAUGAAGCCCAGCUUGCUGGGUGGAUUAGUGGCGAACGGGUGAGUAACACGUGAGCAACGUGCCCAUAACUCUGGGAUAACCUCCGGAAACGGUGGCUAAUACUGGAUAUCUAACAUGAUCGCAUGGUCUGUGUUUGGAAAGAUUUUUGGUUAUGGAUCGGCUCACGGCCUAUCAGCUUGUUGGUGAGGUAAUGGCUCACCAAGGCGACGACGGGUAGCCGGCCUGAGAGGGUGACCGGCCACACUGGGACUGAGACACGGCCCAGACUCCUACGGGAGGCAGCAGUGGGGAAUAUUGCACAAUGGGCGAAAGCCUGAUGCAGCAACGCCGCGUGAGGGAUGACGGCCUUCGGGUUGUAAACCUCUUUUAGUAGGGAAGAAGCGAAAGUGACGGUACCUGCAGAAAAAGCACCGGCUAACUACGUGCCAGCAGCCGCGGUAAU